rnacentral:RNase_P_RNA from 2 species
GCUGUGUCAAUCUAGUGGAAGGGGUGUACAAACGAGACAUAUAUUGUCAUUAUUUUCACCUCGGGAAGGUCUGAGAUAAGAUUGCUAAACGUUCUAGCCGGACGGCUCGUAAUUGUUGCGUACGUAACAGAAACAGCUUCGCAUUCUCCAAAAUGCCAGGGACGCUUUUUUAAAAGCAGAGGCGACUGGAAAUGCAAAGAUGGAAUGAAGUACAAUCUGCUAUUUUAGUUUAAUCCACAAGCCUGGUAGUCAUACCUGGAACUCAAUUCAGACUAAUUUGAUGCUGC